ACGUAGGUGGCGAGCGUUAUCCGGAAUCAUUGGGCGUAAAGAGGGAGCAGGCGGCAACUAGGGUCUGCGGUAAAAGACCGAAGCUAAACUUCGGUAAGCCGUGGAAACCGAGGAGCUAGAGUGCAGUAGAGGAUCGUGGAAUUCCAUGUGUAGCGGUGAAAUGCGUAGAUAUAUGGAGGAACACCAGUGGCGAAGGCGACGAUCUGGGCUGCAACUGACGCUCAGUCCCGAAAGCGUGGGGAGCAAAUAG
rnacentral:rRNA from 1 species